GGGGAGCAUAUUCAUUGUUCAUAAGUCUCCUCUGUAAAAAAAGGACAUCCUCCAACCAUGCUGCAGAAACAAUAUCAUGUGACUACAGAGCAGCGACUGAACACUCCAGGUAACAGUCACAAAGUUGUUCAUAUAAACAACCAGCAGCCAGUGAAAGAAAAUGUGGUUUAAGUGGAAGAAUCUACUUCUCAAGGCUUGCGCAUUAUUAAUGUACCAAACAAUUGUCAAACCAACAUUAUAUUCCCGGAGUGUGUUCUGGAUGACAGUGGGCAUUUCAAUGUGGAAGAGAUCAGAAACUGACUAGAGGCUACGUUCUGCUCAUGCUACUAAUUUGACUUCAGUGAGACUAUUUGGAUAAUCUUUAAACAGUGCUGUUACAACACCACAAAUCAAAGGAUUACUCCAGUUCCACCAACUUAAUCCACGUGCAAGAUGAAGGACCCAGCUGAGGUACAAACACUGGUACCAGUUUUCUUGUGUUUGCUCUUAC